AUUCUAAGUGUAGUAAGAAGCAAAGAAGUUUAAGCUUGAAAGUACCAUGAUAAAUUCUAAAAGAUGACUCUGGCUUCUAUUUGGAAAAUUGAAUGGAGGGGUGGGGUAGAGAUAGAGAAGCAAAAAUUGGAAAUAGUAGGACAAGUAAAGAAACUCUGAAAUAGCCCAACAGAAAGGUAAAGGUGGAUUGUAAAAACAAUGGAGAAAGAAAAACCAACGAAUUAACAAUUUGUUAGAAAUGAUGGAGCCUAUCAGCUUUCUAGAGAAUCUAUCCUUGAACUUUAUUCCUAAAUCGGUCUACUUUUGCAAUUCUUAGCUUCUAUACCAUAAAACAAAAGGACUUCAAUUUUAAGUUGAUUAAACCAUCCAGGAUGAAAACAAAGUUGUAACCUUAAAGCUACUUCAAAAGGAAAGACUAUAUGUUCCACACACAGAAAAAACUUGGAAUUGACAAGCUAUGUGGAACCGAGUAAACAGGAGGUCCAUAUUCUGCACUGAAAGUACGCACUUACAGAGAAAUUAAAGGCUAGAUUUUUGCUGCUGAUACAUUGUUACCAAGGAGAAAAAAAACAACAAAAAAAAAUUAGUUAUGGCAUUUCUCUCAUGACUCAUUGGAGAAAUCCAGAGUUCCCACCAAGAGAAAUUUUAGUGAAUUGCCUUCUUUUUUGAAUGAUGGAAAGCAGGAGAAAAUUGUGCCAGUUGCAGAGUGCCAGGAAACAAUGAUUCAAUCAUAGAAACAGAAAAUUUUACCAGUAGAAAAUGACUUUUGCAUGAAUUUCAACCAUCUUGAAUGUGUGUCUAUGAAAACAAACUUCCCAACCACGAUCAGCUUUUUCCAAGAUUGUCCACUUUUCUUCUUUUGCUGUAUAUUCACUUAAAAAUAUUCUUAAUCUAACCCACGAAGGAUUUAAGAAAUGAUGGAUAAUUAGUGGAAAACACCAUUUAAUAUUUUCAAGUCAAUCCAUAAUUUUUUUCUUUCAAGUGGGAAAAAG
rnacentral:lncRNA from 1 species